AGUAAAGUCAGCUAAGAAAGCUCUCGGGCCCAUACCCCGAACAUGUUGGUUAAAGUCCUUCCUUUACUA
rnacentral:tRNA from 3 species